rnacentral:lncRNA from 1 species
GGCUGGAGGAGAUGCCGCCCCCGGGAGGGAAGAUCGAUCCUCCCGGGGACGGCAUAGCGGAGAUCGACGAGGGUGGAUCGAGACCUAGAGCUCUGUUACCAUGUUACAAAUGGAGAAGAGAAGACAGAUUGAACUGCACGUGUAUUGGAUAGCCCCCAAAGAGGAUUAGUACACCUAGAAUAGGAAAAGACUAAACUACCCUUGAUUUAUUGACUCAAAUACCCUUAACAGUUAGCAUAUGUUACCUCAUCUUGCUAUCAGGAACAAAAGAUGCUUCCUCACUUCUCUGAUUUUUUUCCUUCCAUGCUGUGCCGACAAAAAAUGAAUGAGGACAAUAAUUAAUAAUUAAAUAAGAUGAAAAUCAGAAGAAACAUGAAUAGAGAUGGAGAAAAAAUUGCAGACCUCAGUGUUGAGUGCAGAUCGACAUUAGCAGCGCGGCCACGGCCUCCGGGUCCAUCUGGAACUUGUCGCGCUCAUCGCAGUACAACCAGGCGCACCACCCGCCCGCCUCGGCUACGGCGGGCGUGGAUCCCCGUGCCCUCGGCCACCGCCGCUGUCAAGGACGGGAACGCGUUGCCCCUGCAACGAACGAUGGUCCUGCAAGGAUGUGGAUGCCGAG